GACGAACGCUGGCGGCGUGCUUAACACAUGCAAGUCGAACGGUGAACGAGGGAGCUUGCUCCCUCCGGAUCAGUGGCGAACGGGUGAGUAACACGUGAGCAAUCUGCCCCGAACUCUGGGAUAAGCGUUGGAAACGACGUCUAAUACCGGAUACGACGCGGGAGGGCAUCCUCUCCGCGUGGAAAGAACUUCGGUUCGGGAUGAGCUCGGGGCCUAUCAGCUUGUUGGUGAGGUAACGGCUCACCAAGGCGACGACGGGUAGCCGGCCUGAGAGGGUGAACGGCCACACUGGGACUGAGACACGGCCCAGACUCCUACGGGAGGCAGCAGUGGGGAAUAUUGCACAGUGGGCGCAAGCCUGAUGCAGCAACGCCGCGUGAGGGACGACGGCCUUCGGGUUGUAAACCUCUUUUAGCAGGGAAAAAGCGAAAGUGACGGUACCUGCAGAAAAAGCACCGGCUAACUACGUG
rnacentral:rRNA from 1 species